ensembl:lncRNA
GAGCAGGUAGCCUAGUGGUUAGAGCAGGUAGCCUAGUGGUUAGAGCAGGUAGCCUAGUGGGUAGAGCAGGUAGCCUAGUGGUUAGAGCAGGUAGCCUAGUGGUUAGAGCAGGUAGCCUAGUGGGUAGAGCAGGUAGCCUAGUGGGUAGAGCAGGUAGCCUAGUGGGUAGAGCAGGUAGCCUAGUGGUUAGAGCAGGUAGCCUAGUGGUUAGAGCAGGUAGCCUAGUGGUUAGAGCAGGUAGCCUAGUGGUUAGAGCAGGUAGCCUAGUGGGUAGAGCAGGUAGCCUAGUGGGUAGAGCAGGUAGCCUAGUGGGUAGAGCAGGUAGCCUAGUGGUUAGAGCAGGUAGCCUAGUGGUUAGAGCAGGUAGCCUAGUGGUUAGAGCAGGUAGCCUAGUGGUUAGAGCC